CCUUGUACACACCGCCCGUCAAGUCAUGGGAGCGGGGAGUACCCGAAGUCCGCUUAGCUAACCGCAAGGAUGCGGCGGCCGACGGUAAGCUCCGUGACUGGGACU
rnacentral:rRNA from 1 species